rnacentral:tRNA from 1 species
GCCGGUUUAGCUCAGUUGGUAGAGCAGUCGCUUUGUAAGCAAAUGGCCAGCGGUUCGAGUCCGUUAACCGGCACCA